UAAAUCAUUUUUUAUUGUCUUAGUAGAGGAGAUAGAAUUAGACGUUUAAGCGGCGAUAGAUAAUAGAUAGUAGCGUGAGUGAAGGUUAAAUAAAUUAAACAGUGAAGUAUCGGUGGUGAGCACUCGUACCUUUUGCAUCAUGGCUUAUACUACUUUUUAUGCUGAGGAAGUAUCCCGAAAGUUUUGUGAUCUACUUUCUUACUUUACAGGUUGGCGUUAUAUUUGCUAUCUGGAGAUGGGGAGAUAGUGGCGAAAUACUUUUCGCACUGGUUGAUAGCUGGUUAUUCCGGAAAUAUAUUUAAGUAUAGUCCUUCGGUUGAUGGGGUUUACAGUUUGAUAAUUCUAAUAGUAUUCGGGCUGUUUUUCGAAGGGGUCAGCCCCCUCAGGCUAAGCUGAGGGGGCUAUUUUAAAGGAUGGUUAAUUAAGAAUGGAAAGGCUAAGAAGUGGGCUUGAAGUAGUUAUCUUUAUGGAGUGGGUUAAACCACAAAUGAGCCUUGUAUAAUAAAUUAAAUUUUACCUAUCUUUGUGUUGUACGGAAUCUCUUUUUGAAACAACAAUCAUGGAGGUGAUAAUGUAAAGAUGAGUAGUCGAGAAGUUGUAAGUGUUUUAAGGUCGGGGAAAGAAACGUAAGGUUAUGUUCCGUAUUUUUAAAAAAAGCUAAAGGAACUCGGCAAAUAAGGGGACCGCCUGUUUAUCAAAAACAUGGCUCCCUGAGCAAUAUGGGGGGUCGUGCCUUCCCGGUGAGCUUGCGGGCUUAAACGGACGCGGUAAAGCGUGCUAAGGUAGCUAAAUUAUGGCCUAUUAAUUGUAGGCCCUGUGAAUGGUUUGACGAGUUUCCAACUGUCUCUAGUUUUUUUUGGUGAACUUGAAUUGGAUGUGCAAAUGCUUCCAUGGGUAAGAAAGACGAGAAGACCCCGUGAAGUUAGAAAUUUAAGUUAUUGGGAAGUUCCAAGGCUAUUUGUGGCCGAAUCGUUGAGGAGCACUAGAGCUUAGUGUUUCAGAAGGGGUGAAUAAUAGCAGUUUUGGCUGGGGCAGCAAAGGAGCAAAGCUAGACUCCUUUAGGGUGUAAAACAGAUGUGUUACGACCCACAAACAUUAAGGUGUGAUUAUCAGAAGAAGUUACUCCGGGGAUAACAGCGUAAUCUGUCUUGAUAGUUCUUAUAGAUGGGCGGGUUUGCGACCUCGAUGUUGGCUCUGGAUAUCCUAAGGCUUGUAGGCGGUCUUGAGGGUUGGUUCGUUCGCCCAUAAAAAUCUGACGUGAGCUGAGUUCAGAUCGGUGAAAGCUAGGUCGGUUUCUAUCUUCUUUCUUUUAAAGUUGGGCUUUAGGGUACGAAAGGACAUUUAGUUCCAGGUGAUGGCCUGUAGUGUGUGAUUUUAGAAUAA
rnacentral:rRNA from 1 species